GUGCAUCCUUUCCCGGGUACAUCUGCCGAAACCUUAGUGCAUUGAUUAGGCGACUCUAAAGAAGUAUAAUCCUCGGGGUUGCCCCUCGAGCACUAGCCAUCCCUCGCGGGUGGUGACAUUACCAGUUUGCGGGAAUCUUCAGGUCUUCCUGGAUAACCCGCAGCCACUUCGGUGGCUCACAGGCUAAAUGGUAAUGGGCAUGCGCCAAGGCGGCCGUGCUUCAGAUAUAGUCGGUCCCCAGAUGCCUCUGGGAGCCUCGUGGGUCCAGGUCCAAUCCUGAGAAUCAUACGAGCGAGUCAGCGUUCCGUAGGUGAACCUGCGGAAGGAUC
rnacentral:rRNA from 1 species